AGUGAACGCUGGCGGUAGGCCUAACACAUGCAAGUCGAACGGCAGCACAGUAAGAGCUUGCUCUUACGGGUGGCGAGUGGCGGACGGGUGAGGAAUACAUCGGAAUCUACUUUUUCGUGGGGGAUAACGUAGGGAAACUUACGCUAAUACCGCAUACGACCUACGGGUGAAAGCAGGGGAUCUUCGGACCUUGCGCGAUUGAAUGAGCCGAUGUCGGAUUAGCUAGUUGGCGGGGUAAAGGCCCACCAAGGCGACGAUCCGUAGCUGGUCUGAGAGGAUGAUCAGCCACACUGGAACUGAGACACGGUCCAGACUCAUACGGGAGGCAGCAGUGGGGAAUAUUGGACAAUGGGCGCAAGCCUGAUCCAGCCAUACCGCGUGGGUGAAGAAGGCCUUCGGGUUGUAAAGCCCUUUUGUUGGGAAAGAAAAGCAGCAGGUUAAUACCCCGCUGUUCUGACGGUACCUAAAGAAUAAGCACCGGCUAACUUCGUG
rnacentral:rRNA from 1 species